GAGUCUUUUAAAAAAUAGUUAAGAAAAUCCUAAUCUUGAAGACGGAGGGUCACUUUGAAAAAAAUCAGGAGAUCUUUGAGAAAAAAACCAAGAGAUUCAUAUUAUAUACAGAUCUGAAAGAAAUGGAAAAUAUUUAAAGUUAAGGUUUCGAAGAACCCAGAAAAAGUGAGAAACCUUUGAAAGGUUACCGAUCAAGCCAGACUUGUCACAGAUCUUACUCGAAUAAUCAUGGAUUGCUGGAAAAUGUCAUGGGAAACCAUGGGAGGCGAGUGGACCGCCUCUGGUUCACUUGAGGCCCUCAAAAUGAUGACACAUGAUCAAAAGGGAGCCAUAUGGCUGGUAGGUGGUUAGAUCAACAAGGAUUCAGGCAAGGAGAGGGCCAGAGAAGGUGGGUGAAGUUCAUCUAAUACGAGGGGAGGAUGCAGGGUUCUACAGAGAACCAGAGAGAGAGAGAGAUGAGAAUCAGUUAAGUAAGGAAAGAGAGGGUUUGGAG
rnacentral:lncRNA from 1 species